rnacentral:rRNA from 1 species
CCUACGGGAGGCUGCAGUGGGGAAUAUUGGGCAAUGGAGGAAACUCUGACCCAGCAACGCCGCGUGAAGGAUGAAGGUUUUCGGAUUGUAAACUUCUGUCGCGAGGGAUGAAGAAUGACGGUACCUGACUAAGAAGCCCCGGCUAACUACGUGCCAGCAGCCGCGGUAAUACGUAGGGGGCAAGCGUUAUCCGGAUUUACUGGGUGUAAAGGGAGCGCAGACGGCUGUGCAAGUCUGGAGUGAAAGGCGGGGGCCCAACCCCCGGACUGCUCUGGAAACUGUAAAGCUGGAGUGCAGGAGAGGUAAGCGGAAGUCCUAGUGUAGCGGUGAAAUGCGUAGAUAUUAGGAGGAACACCAGUGGCGAAGGCGGCUUACUGGACUGCAACUGACGUUGAGGCUCGAAAGCGUGGGGAGCAAACAGGAUUAGAUACCCUUGUAGUC